CCGAGUUUACCAACUCCCAAACCCCAUGUGAACCUACCUCUUCCCGUUGCUUCGGCGGUGCCGCCCCGGGCGCGGGCCUCUCCAGAGGCCGCCAGCCCCGGACCCAGGCGCCCGCCGGGGGACCCCAAACUCCACUGUAUUAUAGCGGCUUAUUCUGAGCUACGCUCUCCGAGCGGAAAAAAACAAAUGAAUCA
rnacentral:misc_RNA from 1 species